rnacentral:tRNA from 1 species
UGAAUAUAAGCUCUAAGAGCUUUUGGCUGUUAACCAAAAAGGUAUAAAUUAUUUUAUAUAUUC